GGGCCCGCACAAGCAGUGGAGGAUGUGGUUUAAUUCGAAGCAACGCGAAAACCUUACCAGAACUUGACAUCCCUAGAAGGUUUAUGAAGAUAGACCGUGCCUUCGGGAGCUAGGAGACAGGUGGUGCAUGGUUGUCGUCAGCUCGUGUCGUGAGAUGUUGGGUUAAGUCCCGCAACGAGCGCAACCCUUGCUAUUAGUUGCUAACAUUUAGUUGAGCACUCUAAUGGGACUGCCGUUGACAAAACGGAGGAAGGUGGGGAUGACGUCAAAUCAUCAUGCCCCUUAUGUUCUGGGCUACACACGUCCUACAAUGGCCGUAACAAAGGGAAGCAAUACUGCGAAGUGGAGCAAAUCCCCAAAAACGGUCCCAGUUCGGAUUGGAGGCUGCAACUCGCCUCCAUGAAGUUGGAAUUGCUAGUAAUCGCAAAUCAAGCAUGUUG
rnacentral:rRNA from 1 species